AACCAAUCCAACCGUUCUGCACCUCACUUUCGAUUUGUGUACGUCAUUUCCCUUUUUUUGUCUAUAAAUCUUCUUCCACCAUGUGGCUGCACUGGAGUCUCUGUGAAUCUGCUGUGAUUCGGGGGGCUGCCCAAUUCACAAAUCAUUCAUUGCUCAAUUAAACUCCUUUAAAUUUAAUUUGGCUGAAGUUUUUCUUUUAUCAGGUUGUGUCAGAAGUGGGAUUCGAGGUAGAGCCUCUAGCAACCCCCAGGAGUGCUGAGUGAAUAUGCAUGGUACCUGCAGGACCCACUUGUGUCCACUGAUCUCUUGGAGCAGCUGAGGAUUGUGGGACUAUGGUGCAGCCAGCUGGGUCAUUAGGGCCACUCAGGGAAAGAGAACCCAGAAGCCUGGUAUGCCGGCAAAAGGCUAAUUAUUAUGCCAGAGUAUAUUUUCACCAGAUAAAGAAAACUUUUUAUGGUUCACUGAGGACAAUCAACCCCUUCACAAUCCAGAACCUGAAGACUGACUCUUCUGAGAACAUCAGAGAAAGACUGUCCUUCUACACUGCAGCAAAACUUUGGAACCUUGAACCUUGGGUUCAUAAACAACUGAGAGGGGUCCCUCUACACUCUUGGAACUGUACACCCAUUGGAAUCCUUAAGGUAAAACUAACCCAGAAAGUUUCUUCCCAGAAGAAGAUGGCAUCCUUGAUGUGAACAGCUUUUCCCAUGAUCAUGGAUCAAGACUUCUAUAAUGAGACUCUUAUCUUUGAAUAUUUUUUCCUUGUUUAUGCCUCUAUGAAUAAUAGAAAUGAAAAGGGGUUCUAUUAUGUUCAGUUAUAAGGUAUACUUUUAUUUGUGAAGGAUUUUGUAGCCAGCCUUAUACAUGAAUAACCUUAUACUUUGAUAAAGACAAGACGAAGGCCCAAUGUAGGUGAAAAACUUUAAUUGUACAUAUAUUUCCUCAUAAUCAGUAAAAACUCCUCUUAACCCACAUCAUGGGUUAAAGAGAACAUUGUCAGGGGGCCUACACUUUUCUAAAAGGACAUCAUUUGUUAGGUCCUUUUUCCAUGGUUUAGAAUAAAAUAGGCAAUAACUAGAAAUAUAUCCCUCAUAAUAGGCUUUCUAGCAGAUUCUACUGUAAAGACUAUCGUUACACAACAGACUUUAAAUUCUCUUGUGAAAGUUAUGCUAAAUAAUAGAAUUAGCUAAAUAGAAAAGUACCUGUGCAGCUGCUGGCAGCUGUGGCCUAUGGAGGAAUACAUUAAAUGUAGAUUAUAAAAAUUCAGUUGUAGAAGAUUAAUGAAAAGAUCACUUAGUCAAGCAAGUAGACCCUUCAUCUCACUCAUUCUUUAAUCUAUUUUAUUUUAGGUGGUUUGGUUUAUGGGGACCCUGGGUAAGGAGCAUACUCCAAACUCUUGGUAUUAUGCUCCCAAUAGGCAUAAUAAUAGUCUCCCUGGUGCACUGUAUUCUCUCAAAGAUUUUAAAUGAUUGCACGCAGCUAUCUCUAGAACGUCAAAUGGUCUCUCUUCAACUGGAAUGAAAGAGCUGAAAGAAAUAUGUGACCAUGAGGAUACCAUAACCUAUGAACGAUGUGCUGACACCAGAAACACAAAAUGAUGGUAACAGAGUGGUGCUAAGGCCCCGAGUUUUGGUCACACUCUCAUCUAAGUAAGAACCUGACCAAAAAGGGGGAAUUUUUUAAAAAACACAAUUAUGGGAAGCCAUUGUUUUGGACUAAGCUCAUGCACUAGGUCCCAACAAGACAAACCAAACUAAAAUGGAGUCACUCAUGCUAAAUGUGACAUAAUCAAACUAAGGAUACACAUAAAUCCUAGAACAGACCAGGUUUUUUCUCCUGUAAACAGGAUGUUCCAUCAUAAAGAGGUACCCUCUACUCAGUCUUUGUUCCUACCUUUGGAAAACUCACUGUUCUACUGUUUCCCACUGGAUUUCAGGAGCAAAUAAGUACAUUUACUAUGGUGAUAGUGACAACAACUAAAGUUUUGGUCAAUCUCUCAAAAUUGAGAAAAUGACCAAAAGAGGGGAGUUGCUGAAGCAAACUAAAUAUGGCCUGAGAAGGACUUCAUACUUUUAUAUUUGAGUCCUUGUGGAUGAACUGCAACCUAGCUUAAUAGGUAGAUAGAUUGAAAACCUAACAGGAGUAUGCAACUGUAACAAUAGCUGCGUCUUGGCCAAUCCGAGGCUGCACUUCAACUAUUCAUAUACUGCUGAGCGUUCAAACUGUGUUCAAAUACGGCAAACACCAACCUGAAACCAAUCCAGCUGUUUUGUACUUUACUUUCAAUUUCUGUACAUCAUUUACCUUUUUUUGUCUACAAAUCUUCCACCACGUGGCUGCGCUGGAGUCUCUGUGAAUCUGCUGUGAUUCUGGGGGCUGCGCGAUUCGUGAAUCAUUCAUUGCUCAAUUAAACUUUAAAUUUAAUUCGGCUGAAGUUUUUAUCAAGUGUAAACCAAAAAUAAAAAAUAAAUUUAUAAGGCUCCCCAGCCAUCUAAAUGGACUUCCUCCUCGGCCAGGGAACUCUUAAAA